GUCAUCUUCUUCAUAGUUGCUGCCAAAUUUUGAAAGACACCAUAGCUAGGGUUCUUUGCUUUCUCAAGCUCAUAAUCAAGAAAAAUGAGAAGACUACCGCAAACGGGGAAAAGAGAAGAUAGUGGAGUAAAUUGCAAAAUUUCGAUAUUUUGCACCGAGUGACAUCAAUCAUCUCGGAACUUGGGCGGAGUCAUAUAAUCAUCCACACUAUCAUCAACAUUUGGGUAUUUUGCAACUCAUAUUUCGGAAACAUGGCAUGUAUAGACGACUUUAUGUACUGUGGUGUAAACAAAUAUAUAUAUAUGUGUUUCGGUUUAAAAUGUAGGUGUUCAUUAUUAAAUAAAUUGUGUUUGAUCAUACAA